rnacentral:rRNA from 1 species
CCUACGGGUGGCUGCAGUGAGGAAUAUUGGUCAAUGGGCGCGAGCCUGAACCAGCCAUGUAGCGUGAAGGAUGACUGCCCUAUGGGUUGUAAACUUCUUUUGUCAAGGAAUAAAGUGAGGUACGUGUACCUUUUUGUAUGUAUCUUAUGAAUAAGGAUCGGCUAACUCCGUGCCAGCAGCCGCGGUAAUACGGAGGAUCCGAGCGUUAUCCGGAAUUAUUGGGUUUAAAGGGAGCGUAGAUGGGUUGGUAAGUCAGUUGUGAAAGUGUGCGGCUCAACCGUAAAAUUGCAAUUGAUACUGGCAGUCUUGAGUACAGGUGAGGUAAGCGGAAUUCGUGGUGUAGCGGUGAAAUGCUUAGAUAUCACGAAGAACGCCGAUUGCGAAGGCAGCUUACUAAACUGCAACUGACAUUGAUGCUCGAAAGUGUGGGUAUCAAACAGGAUUAGAUACCCUUGUAGUC